GGGUUGUGAGGUUAAGCGACUAAGCGUACACGGUGGAUGCCCUGGCAGUCAGAGGCGAUGAAGGACGUGCUAAUCUGCGAUAAGCGUCGGUAAGGUGAUAUGAACCGUUAUAACCGGCGAUUUCCGAAUGGGGAAACCCAGUGUGUUUCGACACACUAUCAUUAACUGAAUCCAUAGGUUAAUGAGGCGAACCGGGGGAACUGAAACAUCUAAGUACCCCGAGGAAAAGAAAUCAACCGAGAUUCCCCCAGUAGCGGCGAGCGAACGGGGAGCAGCCCAGAGCCUGAAUCAGUGUGUGUGUUAGUGGAAGCGUCUGGAAAGGCGCGCGAUACAGGGUGACAGCCCCGUACACAAAAAUGCACAUGCUGUGAGCUCGAUGAGUAGGGCGGGACACGUGGUAUCCUGUCUGAAUAUGGGGGGACCAUCCUCCAAGGCUAAAUACUCCUGACUGACCGAUAGUGAACCAGUACCGUGAGGGAAAGGCGAAAAGAACCCCGGCGAGGGGAGUGAAAAAGAACCUGAAACCGUGUACGUACAAGCAGUGGGAGCACGCUUAGGCGUGUGACUGCGUACCUUUUGUAUAAUGGGUCAGCGACUUAUAUUCUGUAGCAAGGUUAACCGAAUAGGGGAGCCGAAGGGAAACCGAGUCUUAACUGGGCGUUAAGUUGCAGGGUAUAGACCCGAAACCCGGUGAUCUAGCCAUGGGCAGGUUGAAGGUUGGGUAACACUAACUGGAGGACCGAACCGACUAAUGUUGAAAAAUUAGCGGAUGACUUGUGGCUGGGGGUGAAAGGCCAAUCAAACCGGGAGAUAGCUGGUUCUCCCCGAAAGCUAUUUAGGUAGCGCCUCGUGAAUUCAUCUCCGGGGGUAGAGCACUGUUUCGGCAAGGGGGUCAUCCCGACUUACCAACCCGAUGCAAACUGCGAAUACCGGAGAAUGUUAUCACGGGAGACACACGGCGGGUGCUAACGUCCGUCGUGAAGAGGGAAACAACCCAGACCGCCAGCUAAGGUCCCAAAGUCAUGGUUAAGUGGGAAACGAUGUGGGAAGGCCCAGACAGCCAGGAUGUUGGCUUAGAAGCAGCCAUCAUUUAAAGAAAGCGUAAUAGCUCACUGGUCGAGUCGGCCUGCGCGGAAGAUGUAACGGGGCUAAACCAUGCACCGAAGCUGCGGCAGCGACACUAUGUGUUGUUGGGUAGGGGAGCGUUCUGUAAGCCUGUGAAGGUGUGCUGUGAGGCAUGCUGGAGGUAUCAGAAGUGCGAAUGCUGACAUAAGUAACGAUAAAGCGGGUGAAAAGCCCGCUCGCCGGAAGACCAAGGGUUCCUGUCCAACGUUAAUCGGGGCAGGGUGAGUCGACCCCUAAGGCGAGGCCGAAAGGCGUAGUCGAUGGGAAACAGGUUAAUAUUCCUGUACUUGGUGUUACUGCGAAGGGGGGACGGAGAAGGCUAUGUUGGCCGGGCGACGGUUGUCCCGGUUUAAGCGUGUAGGCUGGUUUUCCAGGCAAAUCCGGAAAAUCAAGGCUGAGGCGUGAUGACGAGGCACUACGGUGCUGAAGCAACAAAUGCCCUGCUUCCAGGAAAAGCCUCUAAGCAUCAGGUAACAUCAAAUCGUACCCCAAACCGACACAGGUGGUCAGGUAGAGAAUACCAAGGCGCUUGAGAGAACUCGGGUGAAGGAACUAGGCAAAAUGGUGCCGUAACUUCGGGAGAAGGCACGCUGAUAUGUAGGUGAAGUCCCUCGCGGAUGGAGCUGAAAUCAGUCGAAGAUACCAGCUGGCUGCAACUGUUUAUUAAAAACACAGCACUGUGCAAACACGAAAGUGGACGUAUACGGUGUGACGCCUGCCCGGUGCCGGAAGGUUAAUUGAUGGGGUUAGCCGCAAGGCGAAGCUCUUGAUCGAAGCCCCGGUAAACGGCGGCCGUAACUAUAACGGUCCUAAGGUAGCGAAAUUCCUUGUCGGGUAAGUUCCGACCUGCACGAAUGGCGUAAUGAUGGCCAGGCUGUCUCCACCCGAGACUCAGUGAAAUUGAACUCGCUGUGAAGAUGCAGUGUACCCGCGGCAAGACGGAAAGACCCCGUGAACCUUUACUAUAGCUUGACACUGAACAUUGAGCCUUGAUGUGUAGGAUAGGUGGGAGGCUUUGAAGUGUGGACGCCAGUCUGCAUGGAGCCGACCUUGAAAUACCACCCUUUAAUGUUUGAUGUUCUAACGUUGACCCGUAAUCCGGGUUGCGGACAGUGUCUGGUGGGUAGUUUGACUGGGGCGGUCUCCUCCUAAAGAGUAACGGAGGAGCACGAAGGUUGGCUAAUCCUGGUCGGACAUCAGGAGGUUAGUGCAAUGGCAUAAGCCAGCUUGACUGCGAGCGUGACGGCGCGAGCAGGUGCGAAAGCAGGUCAUAGUGAUCCGGUGGUUCUGAAUGGAAGGGCCAUCGCUCAACGGAUAAAAGGUACUCCGGGGAUAACAGGCUGAUACCGCCCAAGAGUUCAUAUCGACGGCGGUGUUUGGCACCUCGAUGUCGGCUCAUCACAUCCUGGGGCUGAAGUAGGUCCCAAGGGUAUGGCUGUUCGCCAUUUAAAGUGGUACGCGAGCUGGGUUUAGAACGUCGUGAGACAGUUCGGUCCCUAUCUGCCGUGGGCGCUGGAGAACUGAGGGGGGCUGCUCCUAGUACGAGAGGACCGGAGUGGACGCAUCACUGGUGUUCGGGUUGUCAUGCCAAUGGCACUGCCCGGUAGCUAAAUGCGGAAGAGAUAAGUGCUGAAAGCAUCUAAGCACGAAACUUGCCCCGAGAUGAGUUCUCCCUGACUCCUUGAGAGUCCUGAAGGAACGUUGAAGACGACGACGUUGAUAGGCCGGGUGUGUAAGCGCAGCGAUGCGUUGAGCUAACCGGUACUAAUGAACCGUGAGGCUUAACCUUACAACGCCGAAG
rnacentral:rRNA from 1 species